UACAGAGGUCCCAAGCGUUGUUCGGAUUCACUGGGCGUAAAGGGUGCGUAGGUGGCUAGGUAAGUCGGAUGUGAAAGCUCGGAGCUCAACUCCGAAAUGGCAUUGGUAACUACUUAGCUCGAGGGCUGGAGGGGGGACUGGAAUACUUGGUGUAGCAGUGAAAUGCGUAGAUAUCAAGUGGAACACCAGUGGCGAAGGCGAGUCCUGGACAACUCCUGACACUGAGGCACGAAAGCUAGGGGAGC
rnacentral:rRNA from 1 species